AUUAUGUGUUUCAUUUGUGAAAAAAUGAAAAAGAAAAAUCAUUUAUGGUCUAGACUCUCUCAACCGAUCUCCUCUCUCUCUCUCUCCCUAAUUCAAGCUGUUCAUUUUGAGUUUUGAAGAAAAAAUCGAAGGAAUUUUAUGGCUUUGGUGUUAGAACUUUGAGGUAAAGGUAAGGCUAAGAAGUGAGAUUGAAGAGCUCGAGGCGCGAACUGCAUGUUAGGGGGCUGGUGCAGUAUUUUACUUUUAAUGUUUCUAAAUGUUAAACAUUGUGGAUCCGUUAUUUUGAUUUAACUAGUUCUUAUAUAAGUUUACAGUACUAAAAAUAUUUUUAUUUUAAACAGUGAGAUCUCAUGCUUAGAUAUUUUUCAAUAAAGAAGUAUUUUAUUGUCUUUAUCUUAUCAAAUUGUUUUAUAUGGACUAUCCUGUGUGAUAUCUCGGAAAAUUGGAGUGUUAUAAUAUGGUAUCAGAGCAACACGGUCCUGAAGAAUGUGGUUAGCCCUAAUAUGUAAAGUUCACCGCCAUGAGAUGAGCUCGACUCACUGUACUGAGUUUAGAAAUGCCUCCUAGAAGGUCAGUCAAAUUGGGUCAAGGUCGAGGUUGAGGUCGAGGUCGGGGCCAAGGCCAUGACCGAGAUACAGGCCAAGAUUAUGGAGGGAUCAAUGAACCACCUCAAGCACCAUAAGGAUGGGAAGAGCGCCUUCCCACACUAGAAGGAACCAUUCGAAGGCAAAAUGAAGAACUUUGUCAACUGAGACAUCAAUUGGAGUUGUCAGUUCAAAUAAGGCCGACAGAGCCAGAAAAUAGAGACCCACCAGUUGUGGUGGUAUAUCCUGCUACAGAAGCUAGACAUGAGAUGUUAGCAGAGAGAUUUCGAAAACAACACCCACCUGAGUUUGAGGGACGCAUACACCCAGUGGUGGCUGAAGAGUAGAUGAGUCGCAUAGAAAGCAUUUUGCAGAUGAUGAGGGUCGAUGGGAAUGACCGAGUGAAGUGUGUAUCAUACAUGCUGAGGAAAGAUGCUCGUAUCUGGUGAGAGGUGGUGGAGCAAACAAAGGAUGUGGAUACCAUGAAGUAGGAUGAUUUCAAAAGGGUUUUUAUUGAGAAAUAUUAUAACUCAGCAGUUCUAGUAGCAAAGGUCGAUGAAUUUACUGGAUUAGCCUAAGGGAGCCUUACUGUUACAGAGUAUGCACCAAAAUUUGAUAGACUGGCGAAAUUCGCUCCAAAUCUGGUACCUACUAAUAGAGUACGUGCACAUCGAUUUGUGGAAGGCCUGAAACCAAUGAUUGCUUGAGAUGUGGAAAUUUUGUCAAGGGGUCAAUUUGGUUAUGCUCAAGUUGUCAAAAUGGCUCUUACGGCUGAGUGGAGUGAAAAUAAAAUUUGGAAGGAAAAUGCUGCCAUGAGAGAAUCUAAGAAAGGUGGAGCCAAUUCUAAUGAACACAAGAAAAGGGGACAAGGUCAGUCCGGGCAGUCAAGUCAAGACAAGAGGUACAAAACUGAUAACAACCAACGAUCUAAUGGCAACAGUGGGUGAAACAUUCCAGAAUUCCCUAAAUGUACCACACGUCAUCUCGGCGAGUGUCGCGCAAAAGCAUGCUACAAAUGUGGAAAGGAAGGACACAUCAAACGCAAUUUCCCAAUGUGGGGACAGACUGGGAACAAAGCAGAACCCAAGAAAGAUGACAAGUAUUUUCCAGCCAGAGUUUUCGCCAUCACUCAAGCAGAAGCUGAGGCCAGUCCUUCGGUUGUAUCAGGAAAGGGUAAGGCUAAGCAGUGAGACUAAAGAGCUCGAGGCGUGGACUGCAUGUUAAGGGGCUGGCACAGUAUUUCUUUUAAAGUUUUUAAAUGUUAAACAUUGUGGAUCCGUUAUUUUGAUUUAACUAGUUCUUAUUUAAGUUUACAGUACUAAAAAUAUUUUUGUUUUAAACAGUGAGAUCUCAUGCUUAGAUAUUUUUCAAUAAAGAAGUAUUUUAUUAUCUU